rnacentral:rRNA from 1 species
AGUGAACGCUGGCGGUAGGCCUAACACAUGCAAGUCGAACGGCAGCACAGUAAGAGCUUGCUCUUACGGGUGGCGAGUGGCGGACGGGUGAGGAAUACAUCGGAAUCUACUUUUUCGUGGGGGAUAACGUAGGGAAACUUACGCUAAUACCGCAUACGACCUACGGGUGAAAGCAGGGGAUCUUCGGACCUUGCGCGAUUGAAUGAGCCGAUGUCGGAUUAGCUAGUUGGCGGGGUAAAGGCCCACCAAGGCGACGAUCCGUAGCUGGUCUGAGGGGAUGAUCAGCCACGCUGGAACUGAGACACGGUCCAGACUCCUACGGGAGGCAGCAGUGGGGAAUAUUGGACAAUGGGCGCAAGCCUGAUCCAGCCAUACCGCGUGGGUGAAGAAGGCCUUCGGGUUGUAAAGCCCUUUUGUUGGGAAAGAAAAGCAGCAGGUUAAUACCCCGCUGUUCUGACGGUACCCAAAGAAUAAGCACCGGCUAACUUCGUG